AAAAUUGUAAUUUCGUUUGCUGAUAUACCCCCUUCUCUUUUUUCACUUUCACUGAUUUUUUUCUCUCUCUAAAAUUAGGUUUUUCUCUCUCUAACUUCCAUUCACUCUCUACAAACCCUAGUUCAUGUUAAUUCGUGAAUCAAAAAAUGGAUUCGAAUCAAAUACUACCAACAUCUCCUGUUAUUACUUAUGAAAGAUGAUCAAUCGAUUCACAAUGUAUGGAUAAAUCUCCAAUACAAGCCAUUUGUCCAUCAAAUCAUGAUGGUGAUGAAGCACUUGUCAAAAAGAAAAAAGGUGAUGGUGAUGAAGCUGUAAAAAGUGAUGUUCAAUGGUCUAAAAGUCCAAUUGUGGAGUCAUCCUUACUAGAAGCUAUAAACAAUGAUCACAUUCAUAGGUUGGUAAUCAUCAAUGGAUACUGAUUAAUUUUUUAUGCAUGUUAGAUACGUUUUAAAAUUUUACUCAUAUGUUCUAAAACUUUGCUUGUAUGUUCUAAAUUUAAUUCUAAUUUUAAAUUUUAUUUUACUCACUUUUUAGAACAAAUAAACUUACUGUGUUGUAUUAGGUUGACUAGCAGCUCUCACCAAUUGCUGAAACAUCUUUCUUUCAUUGAUGGGGUCCAUUCCUGCCUUCUUUUGUAUCUGAGUGUCAUUUCGUUAAAGGUUUGUGGGUGUAUGUUAUGUAUGAUGAGCUAGCUAUGAUUGAUCAUAUAGUGAAUAAGGCUCCUUUAGUGGAGUUUUGGAGAGAAAGGGUGCUGAUUGAUCAAUAGGUGUUUCAACAUUUUGUUUUAAAAUGUUGGCGGCUAGGUGUUUUAUUGUUCCUGUGCUUGUUUCAUGAAUUUCCUGCACUAUAAAUUAUGUUCUGCUAUCUGCAUUGGAAGAGGAGGGGGGGUGGGGGGGUACCGGAAUACAGUAGUGUUCUACAUUUUGUUUUAAAAUGUUGGCGGCUAGGUGUUUUAUUGAGUAACAAUAGCUACCAAAUCUGAUUCAAAUUUUGAAUGAGCAAAAUCGUUGUCCAUCUUUAAUUUGCAACAUGUAAGAUUAGGAUUUGGUUGCAUGCUUUACUGACAGAAGGUUUGUGUGCACUAUUAAUUAGUACUGUAUGAUAAUUGUCUUUCUCGCUUAGAUCAUUAAGAAAUGCAUCAUUUUCCUGAUACCAAAGCUUGAUGCUCCUCCAUUUUCUGUAUAUUGAUAAGAACGUCACAAUCACCCUAGAGAUUCUAUGUUUCAAUGGGGUUUGUAGCUACUAAGCUGCUUCAUGUCUCUUUCUACCCUGACUAAUGUCAUACAAGUAUACAACACCUUUACCCAUAUACUUAUACAACUUUUCGAGUAAUAGGCUCCUGCAUCAGUGUAAAGAUGUAUAUAGCCUUUUAUUCUAUGGGAAAUGCAUAUAUCCUUACACAUGCAAAUAAUGAUUGCUUGCAAAGAGGAUAUUUUGCAUCUCUCACCUAAAUUACAGGGGAUUGUCAGCUAUGCCUUGAUCUGAAAGGUAAUAAGCUCGACUUUUUUGUAAGGGAAGUAUGAUAAUGGGUUGUCAUGAAUGUGAUUUUACUUUUAUUUACUUGAAUUAGAAUUAUUUGGCAUGUAGAAUAUUAAUUUUGUGUAUUUUCUUGAUCACUGGCUUAGUGGCUUGACUUUGUAUAAUGAGACACAUCGUAUUAGGAAUUUUUAAAAUUUUAACUAAUGAAGUAAAGGCAAAGUUGUUUAUAGUUGUAUGAUUGUGUAAUAAACUAACCUAAGGAGGGGCACUAUGGGUAAUAUUGUAUUAUAAGGUUAAUAAUCUUUAGUAUUGUUAUAAAUACAAAAAUAAGGUAAAGGAAGAGGUAGACAAAUUUUUGGAGCGAAUCCUUCUGAGAGUUGUGACUUCAAGUCACUAUUUUGAGAGUGGUGACGUAAAGUCACUUAUAUAGGUUGGCAGCCUAAAGUUGCUAGCUUGUACAAACCCCCGUUUUCAAUAUUAAGUAGUUUAUGAAGAAUUUCUCUAUUCUCUAAUUAUGAAGUACAGCAGCUUGGCAGACAACAUUAGCUUCUAUGUACUGCUUGCUUUCGUUCUAUAUUUUUGUACAUAUGUUCUACAUUAUUACACAUAUGUUCUGUUCUAAUUAUUUUUCCCUUGUGUUCUAACCUUUAUAUAUUUUAUAUGUCUAUGACUUGCAUUGAUAAUUUUGAUAAUCUUGUUGGUGAUGAUGCUGCUACAACCUCUAAUCAGUUUGCUACAACAUCUUCUGGAAAUGCAAAUAAGAGUACCAAAGUAGUUAAUAAAGAAGGUGAUCCAAUUGAGGGGAAACUUAAAGUUAGAGCUAAAGAUGUUAUGAAAAACAAAGCAAUGAAGAAAGAACCAAAGAAGGAAGACAAGGGGGAAAAAGGAAAAGAAAGGUUGAUGAGAGUGAUUCUAAUGAUGAUAUUGAAGUUGUUCAUGUAGAUCAAAUGGAAUGUAGAGCAUUAAAUCAACGAAUUACUCCCAAGAAUUUUAUGAACACCGUGCUUAAAGAUUUGCCAAAAUCUCAUAAGGCGGCUAUAAGAAACAUUGGAUUUGGAGGUUUCUUAGAUUUGGAUUUAGAUGCACAUAAAUCUGUGUUUUGCUCUAAGCUUGUGUCGAGUUUUGACUGUGAUAGGGUGUCUUUAGUUCUUGAGAGGAACCAAGAUAUUGAAAUUACACCCGUAGACAUACAUUUGGUUUAUGGAUUGCCGAUGGGAGGAGAAAUUAUUAAAGAGCCUCGACAGGAGGAGGAUGAAGAAUGGGUUGAGUUUAUUAGACAAUGGAGAUCUUUUUUUGGGAUAAGUGGUGGAAUUCCAUCAAAUUCUGUGAUUAUUAAUCGGAUUGAAGAGUUAAAGAAGGAACCUGUUUGUGAUGAAUUCAUUUGGCAUAUUAUAGUUUCUGUUGUCAAUUGUUGUAUGAGAUCCACUGCCAACCCAUCGGUAAAUUACAAGUUCUUGUAUAGUUGCAUGGAUACAAAGAAGAUCGAAUGUUUGGAAUGGUGUGAAUAUGUGUAUAGGAGUUUAAAGUCGUCUGUAUCCGAAUGUCAAGGUGGUUCAGCUUACUUAGCUUCACUGGUCCAUUGCCUUUCUUGAUGGUAAUUUCUUUUUUUUUUAAUAUAUUGCACAUUUUUAUAUUAUUUUGUCUUUUUCUAAAUUUGUCUUUGUUUAACGCUUUUUCAAAAAUUCGGAACAUUGGCUAAGAAGAUUGCUCAGAAUUUAAGUGAGAUGCAUGUCAUGUUGGAUAAGGCAAAUGAAAUAUUUGCUAAAGAAGAAGCAUCCGAUAUGAACACAUUAAUUCAAAAUAUUUGGAAUAAGUAUUCCAUGAGAAAGGAAGAAAAACAAAAGGAAAGCCCCUUCAUUCUAAGUCAAGACAAGCAUUUGUUUGAAGAACCAUCUUUCAUCAAGGAGUUAGAUGAUGUUAUGAAAAGAUCAUGGGAAAAGUUCAAAGGGAAGAAAAAGACACCUUUUCAGAUGACUCCUCUUAGUUUUGAUUUGUUUUCUCAUUCUCAGACACCCACUCCUUCCCCCCCCCCCCCCCUCCUCCUCCUCCUCCUCCUCCUUCCCCUCCUCCUCAAACUUACGGGCCUUUUCCUCCUCCUCAAAUUCAAGGGCCUUCUCCUCCUCCUCAAUUUCAAGGGCAUUCCACUUCAACUUUAGCAGGAGCACGCUCAGGUGCUAAAGACCAACCAUAUGUUCAUGGAGAGAAGAACAAUAUUCAAGCAAAAGAAGAAAAGAACAAGAACAGUGAUGAGAAAGAAGAUGAUAAGAUGGAGGGGUAAUGUAGUUAUGUUUAGGGACACUAUUAAUUAUUGAUGAAUUAAUAUUUUAUUUUUCAAGAACACUAAUUAUUAGUUUUUUUUUUUUUUUUUGGGACACUAAUUAUAUAUAUACAUUUAUAAUUUUAGAACUUGUGGUAUAUUUUUUUUUUUGAAAUGUUUUUCUAAUUAAAUAUUUGUAUUCACCUAUAUAUAUUUACAGGAAAGAAAAUGUAGGAAAAAGGGAGAAAAGAUGUCCCGAAAAUCUUCCAAACUGUAUUCGUUCACCUUUUAUGGUUCAGUAUGACAACAUAUUCAAUAAGGUUGAUGGACACAAGAAGAGAAUGGCAGAGUAUGCAUUUGCCAAUGGAUUACCUAAUGAGAUUUUAUAUGAUGAUGGUCAAACAAUAAUCCGUAGAGAUGAGAUGUCAAGCCUUGCAGCUAGCAAUCAUGUGCUUAAUAACAUUGUUGAUGCUUGGUCAUUCAUAUUGAAUAUUGAAAACAGAAGACGAACCCCAGGGUUAACAAACAGAUUGUUUUUUUCAACGCAAGCUUAUGAAAUUUUGUGUACGGAUUAUCACUUUUCUCCAACUGUGAAAAUUCAAGAUAGAUAUCCUACUUUAUAUGAAAGGUUGGAUAAAGAGAUGAAGCACUCUAAAGUGCUAAACUUUGAUAGAGUUCAUUUGGUAUUUUUUCCAGUUGUAUCUUCAUCACAUUAUUAGCUGCUUUAAUUUGUGUGAAUUUUCUGAGCAAGACUCUCGACGUGAUUGACAACAGAUAUCUGGAAUAUAAAAAUUCUUUUUGGCACAAAUACAAAAACAAACCGAAGAAUUUGUUGAGGGCUUUUGCCAUGUUCUUGUCAACCUAGAGGUCAAAAUGCGAUCAAGAGGUUUCUAGUUUCAAAACUAGGACAUAAAAAAUGAGUUGGAGGACCAAUGAUAACAAUGAUGAUUGCGGCGUGUUUUUGCUUAAACACAUGGAAACAUAUCAUGAUCAAUCAAAUGAAGAAAUUGAGGGUGGAUUUUUGUGCUAAAAUAUUAUCACACAAGGAAAAUGAGCUACAUCAUGAGAUUACUUCAAGAUCACGGAAAUGGGCAAAAGAAAAUAUUUUGUAAUAUAAUUUUAGAAAUAGCAUGUAGAAUUUUGUAUAGUACAAUUAUACUUUAAAUAGUAAGCCUUCACUCGAAAUUUUUGUCUUGUCUUUCUUGUGAUCUACUUCAUUGUUAU